rnacentral:rRNA from 1 species
GUCUACGGCCAUACCACCCUGAACGCGCCCGAUCUCGUCUGAUCUCGGAAGCUAAGCAGGGUCGGGCCUGGUUAGUACUUGGAUGGGAGAAUCUCCUUGUGCAAAGACC